GCCCGAAUAGCUCAGUCGGUAGAGCAUCAGACUUUUAAUCUGAGGGUCCAGGGUUCGAGCCCCUGCUCGGGCG
rfam:Echinostoma caproni strain Egypt genome assembly, scaffold: ECPE_scaffold0023095